GAUGGACCCGUCCUCCGGUGCCUACUGAGCUGAUAUCAGUUCUGAUUUUACACACUGGCUCAGUUCAGCAGGAACAGGAGUCGAGCCCUA
ensembl:miRNA microRNA 24-1